rnacentral:rRNA from 1 species
UACAGAGGGUGCAAGCGUUAAUCGGAGUUACUGGGCGUAAAGGGCGCGUAGGCUGAUAUUUAAGUCGAUUGUGAAAUACCUGGGCUUAACCUGGGAAUUGCAGUUGAUACUGAAUAUCUUGAGUAUGGUAGAGGAAAGUGGAAUUCUCGGUGUAGUGGUUAAAUACGUAGAUAUCGAGAAGAACAUCGGUGGCGAAGGCGGCUUUCUGGGCCAAUACUGACGCUGAGGCGCGAAAGCGUGGGGAG